rnacentral:piRNA from 1 species
UGGAAGACAGAGUAGCCCCAUCAGCAGCUA